ACCUGCCCCCCAUAGUCUGGGAUACCACUUGGAAACAGGUGCUAAUACCGGGAUAAGAAAGCAGAUCGCAUGAUCAGCUUUUAAAAAGGCGGCGUAAGCUGUCGCUGUGGGAUGGCCCCGCGGUGCAUUAGCUAGUUGGUAAGGUAAAGGCUUACCAAGGCGAUGAUGCAUAGCCGAGUUGAGAGACUGAUCGGCCACAUUGGGACUGAGACACGGCCCAAACUCCUACGGGAGGCAGCAGUAGGGAAUCUUCCACAAUGGACGCAAGUCUGAUGGAGCAACGCCGCGUGAGUGAAGAAGGUUUUCGGAUUGUAAAGCUCUGUUGUUGGUGAAGAAGGAUAGAGGUAGUAACUGGCCUUUAUUUGACGGUAAUCAACCAGAAAGUCACGGGCUAACUACGUGCCAGCAGCCGCGGUAAAU
rnacentral:rRNA from 1 species